rnacentral:rRNA from 1 species
CUUACGGUCGUAAAGCUCUUUCGCCAGAGAUGAUAAUGACAGUAUCUGGUAAAGAAACCCCGGCUAACUCCGUGCCAGCAGCCGCGGUAAUACGGAGGGGGUUAGCGUUGUUCGGAAUUACUGGGCGUAAAGCGUACGUAGGCGGAUUGGAAAGUAUGGGGUGAAAUCCCAGGGCUCAACCCUGGAACUGCCCUGUAAACUAUCAAUCUAGAGUUCGAGAGAGGUGAGUGGAAUUCCAAGUGUAGAGGUGAAAUUCGUAGAUAUUUGGAGGAACACCAGUGGCGAAGGCGGCUCACUGGCUCGAUACUGACGCUGAGGUACGAAAGUGUGGGGAGCAAACAGGAUUAGAUACCCUGGUAGUCCACACCGUAAACGAUGAAUGCCAGACGUCGGGGGGCUUGCCCUUCGGUGUCACACCUAACGGAUUAAGCAUUCCGCCUGGGGAGUACGGUCGC